rnacentral:ncRNA from 2 species
UGGACCAACUCUGGAGAGCGGCCGCGGCGCAAGCCGGCGGCCCACCGAAGGGGCGCACGGGAACCAGGAGCGAGCCUCCUCCCGUAAUCUCUCAGGUACCAAGGACAGAGGGGUCUGC